rnacentral:rRNA from 1 species
GACGAACGCUGGCGGCGUGCUUAACACAUGCAAGUCGAGCGGUAAGGCCCCUUCGGGGGUACACGAGCGGCGAACGGGUGAGUAACACGUGAGCAAUCUGCCCAUCACAUCGGGAUAACUCCGGGAAACCGAAGCUAAUACCGAAUACGACCACCUCCGGCAUCGGAUGGUGGUGGAAAGUUCCGGCGGUGAUGGAUGAGCUCGCGGCCUAUCAGCUUGUUGGUGGGGUAACGGCCCACCAAGGCUUCGACGGGUAGCCGGCCUGGGAGGGUGACCGGCCACACUGGGACUGAGACACGGCCCAGACUCCUACGGGAGGCAGCAGUGGGGAAUAUUGGACAAUGGGCGAAAGCCUGAUCCAGCAACGCCGCGUGAGGGAUGACGGCCUUCGGGUUGUAAACCUCUUUCAGCAGGGACGAAGCGGAAGUGACGGUACCUGCAGAAGAAGCACCGGCCAACUACGUG